rnacentral:rRNA from 1 species
CCCUUAGAUGUUCUGGGCCGCACGCGUGCUGCACUGAUGCAUUCAACGAGUCUAAAACCUGGUCUGAUAGGGCUGGGUAAUCUUUUGAAAGUGCAUCGUGAUUGGGAUAGAUGAUUGCAAUUCUUCAUCUUCAACGAGGAAUGCCUAGUAAACGCAAGUCAUCAGCUUGCAUUGAUUACGUCCCUGCCCUUUGUACACACCGCCCGUCGCUCCUACCGAUUGAAUGAUCCGAUGAAUACCAUGGAUUGAGAGUACGAAUAGGUUCGCUUAUUUCUGCUGCUCGAGAAGUGGAGUAAAUCUUAUCAUUUAGAGGAAGGAGAAGUCGUAACA